rnacentral:rRNA from 1 species
GACGAACGCUGGCGGCGUGCUUAACACAUGCAAGUCGAACGGAAAGGCCCGGCUUUUGUGGGGCGCUCGAGUGGCGAACGGGUGAGUAACACGUGAGUAACCUGUACCUAUCUUUGGGGUAUCUUCAGGAAACUGGGUGUCUUAUCGCAUAGGAGCUCUUGCUGCAUGGUGGGGGUUGGUAAGUUUCGGCGGUUGGGGAUGGACUCGCGGCUUAUCAGCUUGUUGGGGGGGUAGUGGCAUACCAAGGCUAUGACGGGUGGCAGGCCUGAGAGGGGGACCAGCCACGUUAGUCCUGAGAUACGACACAGACGAGAAUGGGACGCAGCGGUGGAGAGUGUUGCAGAGUAGGCGGGAGCCAGAUGUGGUCACGCCGCGUGCGGGAAGACGUCCUUCGGGUUGUGAACCGAUUUCGCCUUAGACGAGGUGAGAGUGACGGUACCGGGUGAAGAAGCACCGGCUAACUACGUG